rnacentral:rRNA from 1 species
AUACGGAGGGUGCAAGCGUUACUCGGAAUUACUGGGCGUAAAGGACGCGUAGGCUGGUUUGCAAGUCAGGGGUGAAAGCCUACAGCUUAACUGUAGAACUGCUCUUGAAACUACUUACCUAGAGUAUGGGAGAGGUGAAAGGAAUUAGUGGUGUAGGGGUAAAAUCCGUAGAGAUCACUAGGAAUACCGAUUGCGAAGGCGUUUCACUGGAACAUUACUGACGCUGAGGCGUGAAAGCGUGGGGAGCAAACAGGAUUAGAUACCCUAGUAGUCC